UGCAUCAUCUCUUUGAGAAAAUAUGACCAAACUACUCUUGUGGGACAAGAGGAUAAGGACCAAUGAGAUAUUUAUCCUAGUAUAUAUUUGAUGUGUGUAGCCCAUUUGAUGUGCUAACAAAGAGAGUUAUCUCUACUUCGUUAUCUUUAUCGAUGAUCAGUCAUGGUAUAGGUAAGUAUAUGAGAUACAAAUCUAAAAUUUUUGAAAAGUUCAAAGAAUUUAGAUAUAAAAUAGAGAAGUAAAUCAAAAAAUUUCUAAAGGUACUUCGAUC
rnacentral:lncRNA from 1 species